GAGUCGUUCCCCAGGUUUGGGAACCGAAACAGUUUGCCGCUGCUGUUCGACGGCAACUAGAGGAAGAGGAACGAAAUGAUCAGGAACUGCAAGACAUGCGGGUGGGCCGAGGAAUACAUUGCUAUUUUAAUAUCAAUUUAUUCAACUGAUGAAUAUUGAUUUAUAAGAAAGGCGUUUGCUCCUCACAUCUGAGCUCGUGCUUUCCCACCGGCUUGACUUGACACUUGACUGUCUGACUGCAAUCCAGCGCACAUGAGAAGUCCAUCGAACCUUCCGCUUACCAAGCCUGCAGGAAAGCACCACUCCUUGCUCAAGAGUCAAAUCGGUGGGGGAAAAAUGGCUGACCUCCGGUGUGGGGAGCGAACGCCGUUUCUUAUGAAAUCAUCGGCGAAGUCGCUACCACUCUCUCGUAAUAUUAAAUUUUAACACCAGAAUUCUGAUAUAGCCAGAAUGCACUUGUGUGAGCAUGGGAAUACGCGAACACAUGUACAUGAUAGUACAGGUUGAGCACAUGUUCAUUUACUUCAGUAUGUGCAGAGCGUCAAAUGCAAAUCACGCGUUGUCCAUUUACGCCAUCCCCUGAGGAUCGCAUGUGCCAUUGGCCCAUUGUCCCUAUCCUCCAACAUGGAAGAUUCGGCAUGCCUGCUAAGGGGUUAGCUAUCACACACCGUGAUUAUGAUCGUCUUGUACUCAGUGCGUGCGCAGGUGUGUCGGUCUUGGGGUGAUGUUUAUACGGUUACUCGGGGUUCAGAGGAUAACCAUUGAUGUGUGUCGCUAUCGCAUUGCAUGAGCAGGACUAGAUGGGAAUUGCUGAGAUGAAGGCCUGAAUGUACAUGUAUAUGUACUUGAAUACCCACCGAUACCUAACCUGCCAUGUAUGCCGACAUGGCCAGUACCAUCCUCAUGCCGCCAGAUGAACUUAGGGGUGAAACGAGUGCAAGAAUUGAGAACUCGAGUACUCUUUGAAAGAACAAGCGAGUAUUCGAGCGAGUACGAGCAUUUUCUGAUAACAUAAAACAAUGUACUGCACACAGUCUCGUAACGCCGAACGUACUACUAAUACGCCUAAUACACAGUGGUCUUGCAUACAGCCUAGUGCAGGAAAUAGUCUGAACUACUGUCUUUUGCUGGUAUUAAGUAGGGACAAGCAAUAAUUUCGCGCUUGCAUAGGCUAUCAGUACCGGUUAGAGUAACAGAAAGGCUUGAUGUACAUGUACAUGCACAUGCAUACUAUACACUGCACAUAGGAUGCUACGAGCAUUUUGCGAAACGAGUACUCGCUCAUUUCAAAUUACCGAGCGCGCUCGAUAUACUCGUUUCACCCUUACUAAUGAUUGCCUGACGACUGGCUGAUGAUUUCGAAAGCAUGACACUCAGAGUAGCGACCAACUAGCCUUGAUUGCCCGUGUUGUACAGUUCCGUGUACUGUACUUGAAUACGUAACGUUGGCAGGGUCGACUGCUCAUCCGCAUAGCAUAAUAUGCCGUCUCUUCUAGCAAGGUGUAGGCAAGAGAAAAAAUAAAGCUACUGGCUCCUGGCAUAGGCAAGUUUACCUCGUGAUUGUACUUGUGUUGAACCUUGUGUCCCCGACCGCGAAGCUACAAGCUUGCCUGGACAGGAUCUUGCGGUAUAGGGCUUGAAAGUGCUAAGUCACAGCAUAGCAACAGGUUCAAAAAUUCAAAAAUUGGAUCCACUUGGGUCCAGUUUUUGUAUGGAUCCAAGCACAUUUCAAGCCGUCUUACUCACAGCAAGGUGAUGUAACCAGUGAAACUGACUGAUUUGGCUACUGGGGGAGGGGUUACAACGGGUGGGGAAGUAAAAGUCACCCCUGCAUACGACAUGAGUGGGUUGCUAUGCACCCACAUACUGAGGCAAUAGCAAAGUCACACCUUAGUGGAUCCAAAAUAGAAAUCUGAUGUCAACUUUAUACUCCCUGGCCGUUUUUGACGUCAUCACUUUCUAGCCCUAUUCGUUGAGCAAGAGAGAUGGGCGCCUCAGCAGGGACACCUUUCCCGGCCUGAUGACCAUGCACAACUAUGGUAGGCUGCGCAUUGCCGUGCUGGGAAGGUCUGGAGUGGGAGGAAGUCACACAGCCAACAAUAUCCUUGAACUACUGGGCGAGGACCCAAAGUAAGGGGUGUACAGCGAAGGCGCGGGAAGCGCCAGAGUUCGUGAUGCGCCAAUCUACAAUGCAGCCGGGUAUAGUCCAGCCAUCAUGCUGCGCACUAGUCGCGGUAGUGGCGAGACGAGGGGCAGAGACAGUGAGAUAUGUAUGAUGGAAGCUGUGCUCAGCAACAAGCUGUAUGCCGGUGAUGAGUGCUACAUGGAGUAUAUUCGCUACAACGACAGCAGUCCCAUGGCCGACCAAUGCCAUGCAGCUAUGUUUUUUUCAUGUCUUUCCCUCCUUUCUGAGAACGUGAAACCUGGUGACUACUCCGUGCAGAUGUUCUGGUCCGGAUUCCGUCCUCUCUUCUCCAGAUUGGACAUCACCCCUGUCACUUUGGUCACAAACAUGAGAUGUCCACAACGUGAUGAACUAUUUGACGGUUGGAAAUGCGUCACUCAUGCCACCCAAUUCUUGGGAUCAGCGGAGAAUCAAGUAUUUCCAAUCGAGAACAAAGAGCCGACAGGCGAUCCGGAGGCAGUGCGGAAGCGUCUUCGCCAGGAGCUGGUGCUGGCGUUGCUGGAAGUCAUGUACCAGGCCGAGUACCGCCUUCAUCGGCACGAGCUACGUGCCCUGCGUUACUAGAUUCUACUGGAAAGGCAUUGAAAUCGACACAGCCAUGCCUGUGCCUAUGGCGGGCAAUUCCAAUGCACCCUCUUCCUUUUACGCUUACCAAACAUGCAUGAAACGUUCUCGCAAAAGUUCCGCCGGAUCUAUUGUCAUGUACAUGUCUUUGCCAUCGGUUACACAUCUUUUCAUUUUUUCUUUUCAUCUUUUUCGCUGAGUAUACAUCAAACAUACGAGUAAAUACCGUACAUCUACUGCUAGCAUAUAAUUAUGAUCACUUUUACACGAGAAUUACGUUGAACUGCGGCUUGGAUUGUCGUGCAUGGUUUUCA